ACUUAAAACAAGACACAAGAAGCUUGAGGUACACAUUAAAAGCUGGGGAACCAUGUGAAGAGAGAAGGUGCGUAGCCUCACUGCUACUCACACCCCACUGCAAGGACAAGCAGGAUGUGAUAUACGGCCAUUUCAACUUCACUAUUUCUCUGCUGGCCUUCUGCCAAAGGAGCCAUCGAUGCCUGGAUCUGAGAAGCUCACAUAUUAUCCAAACACCUUACAUGUGUCCCAGCCUAGAUCGAUGCUAAGAGUGUCGUCCUAGAAUCUGCACCCACAUGUUCCAGCUGCAGGUGGCCCCUGCGUCAGACUUGGAAAAACCACACUGCCAUGGGCCAGAGGCGGUGCUGCCUGAAUGAGCUGAUCCCCAUCUGAGAAGAAGGUCCUGGGGAAGAGAAAACUAGAAGGGGAUCCGGGGGCACCAAGUGAAAAGGGAUACGGGAAAAGCAAACUGACAUGAAAUGAUACCAGAACAGGAGGAUGAAACUGGCAAAAGACAAAGUCUGCAUCUUCACAGAGGUCUGGUCCUGUCAGCGCUGUCCUCGUACCUUACAGUGACAGAAUGUUAGCACCAAAUUGUCUGUUUAGCUUAACGACUGCAUACUUAUUAUAAUAGGUUGUUAAACCAAUAAAACUCAAGAGGCAUAAGCAA